rnacentral:rRNA from 1 species
GCUAUUUAGGUUAGAGUUUGAUCCUGGCUCAGGACGAACGCUGGCGGCGUGCUUAACACAUGCAAGUCGAGCGGAAAGGCCCUUCGGGGUACUCGAGCGGCGAACGGGUGAGUAACACGUGAGCAAUCUGCCCUUAGCUCCGGGAUAGCUCCACGAAAGUGGAAUUAAUACCGGAUAUGACCUCGGCCGACAUCGGCUGUGGUGGAAAGGAUUUCCGGCUAAGGAUGAGCUCGCGGCCUAUCAGCUAGUUGGUGGGGUAACGGCCUACCAAGGCGACGACGGGUAGCCGGCCUGAGAGGGCGACCGGCCACACUGGGACUGAGACACGGCCCAGACUCCUACGGGAGGCAGCAGUGGGGAAUCUUGCGCAAUGCGCGAAAGCGUGACGCAGCAACGCCGCGUGGGGGAAGACGGCUUUCGGGUUGUAAACCCCUUUCAGUUGGGACGAAGCUUCUCCGGUGAAUAGCCGGACGGAGUGACGGUACCUUCACAAGAAGCACCGGCUAACUACGUGCCAGCAGCCGCGGUAAUCGUCGGCCCA